rnacentral:rRNA from 1 species
UACGAAGGGGGCUGGCGUUGCUCGGAAUUACUGGGCGUAAAGCGCACGUAGGCGGCUUUUUAAGUCGGAGGUGAAAUCCUGGAGCUCAACUCCAGAACUGCCUUCGAUACUGAAGAGCUCGAGUCCGGGAGAGGUGAGUGGAACUGCGAGUGUAGAGGUGAAAUUCGUAGAUAUUCGCAAGAACACCAGUGGCGAAGGCGGCUCACUGGCCCGGUACUGACGCUGAGGUGCGAAAGCGUGGGGAGCAAACAGG